rnacentral:rRNA from 1 species
GAAUACAAACUUAAUGUGUGUGCUCUCCCUUUGCCCGGUUAGCCGGGCGUGGGAGCGGUGCCAUGUCUUAACAAUAAACGACUCUCGGCAACGGAUAUCUCGGCUCUCGCAUCGAUGAAGAACGUAGCGAAAUGCGAUACUUGGUGUGAAUUGCAGAAUCCCGUGAACCAUCGAGUUUUUGAACGCAAGUUGCGCCCGAAGCCUUUGGCUGAGGGCACGUCUGCCUGGGCGUCACGCAUCGCGUCUCCCCCAAAUCCACCAAGAGUGGACGAGGGGAAGGAGGAUGGUCUCCCGUGACUCACCGGUCGCGGCUGGCCUAAAAUUGGAGCCCUCGGCAUGGGGAUGCCGCGGCGAUAGGUGGUGAACAAGGCCUCGGCCAAGCAAGCAACCCGUCGUGCGUCGCCGUGCCAACGUGAGCUCGAAGGACCCUUGACGUUGCCUAACGGCAACUAAACCGUUGCG